UACGGAAGGCAGCAGUGGGGAAUAUUGCACAAUGGGCGCAAGCCUGAUGCAGCCAUGCCGCGUGUAUGAAGAAGGCCUUCGGGUUGUAAAGUACUUUCAGUCGUGAGGAAGGUGUUAAGGUUAAUAACCUUAGCAAUUGACGUUAGCGACAGAAGAAGCACCGGCUAACUCCGUGCCAGCAGCCGCGGUAAUACGGAGGGUGCGAGCGUUAAUCGGAAUUACUGGGCGUAAAGGGCACGCAGGCGGUUAAUUAAGUUGGAUGUGAAAUCCCCGGGCUUAACCUGGGAAUGGCAUUCAAGACUGGUUAGCUAGAGUCUUGUAGAGGGGGUAGAAUUCCAUAUGUAGCGGUGAAAUGCGUAGAGAUGUGGAGGAAUACCGGUGGCGAAGGCGGCCCCUGGGACAAAGACUGACGCUCAUGUGCGAAAGCGUGGGGAGCAAACAGGGAUUAGAUACC
rnacentral:rRNA from 1 species